rnacentral:misc_RNA from 1 species
GUGAAUCAUCGAAUUUUUGAACGCAAAUUGCACUCUCUUCGGAGAGUAUGCCUGUUUGAGGGUCAGCCUAUAUAAAAUCGACAUCGUUGUUGUUUCGCGGUGGCGUUCGUCGGAAACUGGGUUAUCUUAAAUCCUUUUGGGUUUUAAGCGACUAAAAAUUUUCUGUUUUUUUCCAUGAACGUAUCUAAGUUUUAUUGCUUUACACGUUUAAGGUAUCGUUUUUUAUUAGACGUGACCAUCAUAUCGGAUCGCGUUCAUA